AUGGUCAAAGUAUUUGAUAAGUGGAAGAAGGUUAACAAUGGAAAAUAAUGUGCUUUCCUCACACAUAUGGGCACUACUCCCAACUCGGCUCACAAUUUUGCAGUUCGGUGUUUUGAAAACUUGAAAAAUAGAAUGAACCAUGUUGACGAGGUGAUUAAAAAGCAAACUAAGAACAUGGUUCUUGAUGCAAGACUAAGGCUAAAGACUUCCAUUGAUGCCAUGAUGUAA
rnacentral:rRNA from 1 species